AUUGAACGCUGGCGGCAUGCUUUACACAUGCAAGUCGAACGGUAACAGGGAGCUUGCUCCGCUGACGAGUGGCGAACGGGUGAGUAAUGCAUCGGAACAUGCCCAGUCAUGGGGGAUAACUACGCGAAAGCGUAGCUAAUACCGCAUACGCCCUGAGGGGGAAAGUGGGGGAUCUUAGGACCUCACGUGAUUGGAGUGGCCGAUGUCAGAUUAGCUAGUUGGUGAGGUAAAGGCUCACCAAGGCGACGAUCUGUAGCGGGUCUGAGAGGAUGAUCCGCCACACUGGGACUGAGACACGGCCCAGACUCCUACGGGAGGCAGCAGUGGGGAAUUUUGGACAAUGGGCGCAAGCCUGAUCCAGCCAUGCCGCGUGAGUGAAGAAGGCCUCGGUG
rnacentral:rRNA from 1 species